rnacentral:rRNA from 1 species
CCUACGGGAGGCUGCAGUGAGGAAUAUUGCACAAUGGAGGGAACCCUGAUCCAGCGACGCCGCGUGAGUGAAGAAGUAUUUCUGUAUUGAAAGCUCUAUUAGCACGGGAGUAAAUGACGGUACCUGACUAAGAAUCCCCGUCUAACUACGUGCCAGCAGCCGCGGUAAUACGUAGGGGGCAAGCGUUAUCCGGAUUUACUGGGGGUAAAGGGGGCGUAGACGGUUAUGCAAGUCUGAAGUGAAAGCCCAAGGCUCAACCAUGGGACUGACUCGGAAACUGUACAACUGGAGUGUAGGAGAGGUAAGCGGAAUUCAUGGUGUAGCGGUGAAAUGCGUAGAGAUUAUGAGGAACACCAGUGGCGAAGGCAGCUUACCGGACUGCAACUGACGUUGAGGCUCGAAGGCGUGGGGAGCAAACAGGAUUAGAUACCCGUGUAGUC